AAACUAUGAUGAGGACACUUCCUCAUAAGUUUUUUAAGUUAUUCUCACACUUCAAAUAGGGAUUCAGACCUAUGCUAUUGAGAAUUGAACAUUUCUACCAUAAGUUU